GAUUGUGGAACCUCAUGCCAGCAAUCUUGGGAGAAGCGCAAGAGUUAAGGAAUCAGGACAGGGGGAAACGGUGGCUGUGAGUGCAACUCAUUAGCUGGUGGGUGGAAUGAAGCGGAUGCGCUGCUACUUGCAGAGGCUACAAAGCAAAAAUUUUGGGUCCCUGAAGAUAGAAAAUGAUAUUGGUCAAUGAACUAUAUUGAUAAAUUUCAUGCCCCAGAAUUAAUCAUUCCUGAGAGCAGCAACGAGAUUCCAGAGUGGGUAAAAGUCUUGGAACCUGCAAGAAAGCUACCCACAAAUGUAAGAACCAGGAUUAGGAAAUGUGCAUACGAGGCGUUGGAUAAAGGUCCGCCAGAGUGGGCGAAGAAGAUAUUGCGCAUUCUAUUAGUAAGGGCGGCCUACAAAGAAAUCUAUUGUUUCGGUGCUGACACGUGUGGCUGACGAAGUUUCACAGAGGAAACCUGUGGUGUUAAAAAUGGAAAGGCGUGUCAAAAAAAUGUCUGACAUUGUCAUGAAACAAUGUUAUUAUGUAUUGCGCCAUACUAUUCUUGAAGAUGAGGCAAAAACAUUCUGCAGUUUGCUUACCGUUAUGCUAAUGAGGAUGAUGGCAGCAUUCUUGGAUAUCCUACAAUGCUAUCUCGUGCCUUUGGUUUUUGAACCAUUGAUUUGAGGUUAGCAGUAGGCACUUACAUUGGAUCUGAUGAAGCUUUUCUGGAGGAUGUUCGUGAGGUUUGGCACAACAUACGCACUGCUUACAGAGACCAGCAAGAUUUGAUGCUUUUCGCUGAACAAUUAUCUGGAAAUCUUGAGUCGCUGGUGAUUAUUUUCCAUUGGUGCUUGAUCUUGUACAGAAAAUGAAGGAGUAUGGUAAUCCCUAAUGCUUAAGCGCCGCACCAAGGAAAUCGAUGAGUUUCUGUGUGCAAGGAGAUCCUUAAAGCUCCUUGAGACGAUGGUGGCUGCAGACUCUGUGGCUUCGACAAAAGCGAUGAAA